CUGAACAAAACUUAACCUCACAGAGUGACACCACAGUAUCACACUGAGCAGGAUUUAUGUUGAUUUCAAACAUUUCUCAGGAUUUUUACUUGUUUUUCCAGGUGCUCCAGGUUUUUGUUCAGCCAGUGAAUGGGGACGUAGCACUGUGAUGCUUUUGACUACUGGGGUAAAGGAACGAUGGUCACAGUAUCUUCAGGAACAGCUUCCCCACCGACUGUGUUCCCUCUGCGUCAGUGUGAUUCUGGGGCUGGAGAUCAGGUCACUCUUGGUUGUCUCGCUCAUGACUUCAACCCAGGGAGUCUUACUUUUACGUGGACCGACGAAGGAGGAACCAGUUUGGAUUCUCAACAAUAUAUUUCAGGACCAAAUAAUAACAAAUAUACAGGAGUCAGUGUGAUCAAAGUAUCCAGACCUGAUUCUCUUUCUUUGCCUUACAAUUGUUCUGUGACUCACCCUGGAGGAAAUGGACUUGUGCAGUUUAAUAAACCAAAUCCACCAAAGGUAACUUUGCUAUCAACACCAACUGGAGACAAACAGACUCUGGUGUGUACUGCUGAGGAGUUUAACCCUGAAAAAGUGGAAUUUAGCUGGAAAAAGAAUGGAAUCACUGUCACUGGCUUCAUUGCUUGGAGCCCCAAAGACGUUCAAAAUGGAUAUUCAUCUGUCAGUGUCCUGAAAGUCGACAAAAGAGACUGGGACAGUAAAGCUGUGUACACUUGUGAGGUGACUCACAAAGGACAACAAUAUACCAAAAAGAUCUCAGAAGCUCCCAUCAGAGUGACUCUGAACCACCCAAGUCCCAAAAUAUUAUUCAACAACAACCAGGUACAGUUGGAGUGUAACGUCACUGGACAGGACGGCACCAUUGUAUCUGGAACUACAAUCACUUGGGAGAUCGAUGGACACACUGUGACAAACAACAUUAAUACACAAGAUAUCGCACAAGGCAAACUCAGCAAACUGACUCGAAACCUCACUGACUGGAAGAGUAUCAACACAGUGAGAUGUUCUGCCACCAGAGAAGAUAUGACACCAGUUAUCCAAGAGCUGACUGUGAACAAAGGAGAUACGACAAACACAAAAGUGACGGUUCACAUCCUUCCAGACAAGUUCACUGAAAACUCAGCUGAGGUCACUCUGGUGUGUCUGGUCUCCAGUCCUGUGCUGCAGGAUUACUACAUCGCCUGGAAAGAAGAUGAUGGAGUCUUUACUGACGGCAUCAACUUCCCUCCUCAGAAGACCAAAGAUGGCUACUCAGUUACAAGUCUUUACAUCACCACCAAGGAAAAGUGGGACAAGCACAAGAUGUUCCACUGUAACGUCUGGUCUGCUGGUAGCGAUGGGCAUAUGAAACCUCAAGGAGUGUCUAAGGCCACGGAACCAGAAUCACAAUUUGCUGUGAACUGCACGGACAAUGCCACUGAAGAGGAUGAGUUCAGCAGCCUGUGGUUCACAUCCUCCUCCUUCAUAGUCCUCUUCAUAUUCUCUCUCCUCUAUAGCAUGAUAUUCAGCCUGAUCAAGGUCAAAAAACACUGAAGGAUGGACUGGAAGCAUCGACCUUUUUCAUUUAACAUGUACAUAAUCAUUUAUCUGUUGUUUAUCUGCUAAAUCAAUAUCUAUCUAUCUAUCUAUCUAUCUAUCUAUCUAUCUAUCUAUCUAUCUAUCUAUCUAUCUAUCUAUCUAUCUAUCUGUCUAUCUAUCUAUCUAUCUAUCUAUCUAUCUAUCUAUCUAUCUAUCUCUCCUAUUAUGACUGAUCAAAGAAAUUGAGAGAUAAUUAACAUACAAUUGUUCUUACUGUAAAUAGCAAGUUUGUAAACUGCAAGAAAAAAAACAUUUGAAAAAAAUAAAU